rnacentral:rRNA from 1 species
CGCGUGCACUGGCUCGGUUGGGCCUUUCCUUCUGGAGAACCUCAUGCCCUUCACUGGGUGUGUUGGGGAACCAGGACUUUUACUCUGAACAAAUUAGAUCGCUUAAAGAAGGCCUAUGCUCGAAUACAUUAGCAUGGAAUAAUAGAAUAGGACGUGUGGUUCUAUUUUGUUGGUUUCUAGGACCGCCGUAAUGAUUAAUAGGGACAGUCGGGGGCAUCAGUAUUCAAUUGUCAGAGGUGAAAUUCUUGGAUUUAUUGAAGACUAACUACUGCGAAAGCAUUUGCCAAGGAUGUUUUCAUUAAUCAGGAACGAAAGUUAGGGGAUCGAAGACGAUCAGAUACCGUCGUAGUCUUAACCAUAAACUAUGCCGAUUAGGGAUCGGACGGUGUUAUUUUUUGACCCGUUCGGCACCUUACGAUAAAUCAAAAUGUUUGGGCUCCUGGGGGAGUAUGGUCGCAAGGCUGAAACUUAAAGAAAUUGACGGGAGGGCACCACCAGGGGUGGAGCCUGCGGCUUAAUUUGACUCAACACGGGGAAACUCACCAGGUCCAGACACGAUGAGGAUUGACAGAUUGAGAGCUCUUUCUUGAUUUCGUGGGUGGUGGUGCAUGGCCGUUCUUAGUUGGUGGAGUGAUUUGUCUGCUUAAUUGCGAUAACGAACGAGACCUUAACCUGCUAAAUAGCCCGUAUUGCUUUGGCAGUACGCCGGCUUCUUAGAGGGACUAUCGG